ACCGGGUGCAGUGGACCAUGCCUGUAGUCCCAGCUACACGGGAGGCUGAGGUGGGAAGAUUGCUUGAGCCCAGGACUUCUGGUCUGUAGUGCGCUAUGCUGAUCGGGUGUCCACACUGAGUUCGGCAUCAGUAUGGUGACCUCCCAGGAGUGGGGGACCAUCAUGUUGCCUAAAGAGGGGUGAAAUGGCCUAGGUUGGAAAUGGAACAGGUCAAAAUUCCCAUGCUGAUCAGUAGUGGGAUUGCGCCUGUGAAUAGCCACUGCACUGCAGCCUGGGCAACAUAGCGAGACCCCAUCUCUG
ensembl:misc_RNA Metazoa_SRP Metazoan signal recognition particle RNA